AGCGAGAAGCCUUGUGGGGAGGAGCAAGAAUGAGGAACCCAGCCAGCUGGAUCCUCAAGGGGUGAGGGCGGGUGUGAAGCAAAGCAGGCUCCCUCGAGUACCCCCGUGGAGCAAAGGGGGGCCUCUGGGGUCAGGCUGACUUGGGGCCAGGGCCCAGCGGGGCCAUCAGCAGGCUGUGUGGUCUUGGGCAAACCACUGUGCCUCUCUGACCUUGGGAUCCUUGUCUGCAAAGUGGGGCCAAUAAUGGCAGCUACCUCAAAGGACUGCUGAGACACUUUGGUGAGAUAAUUUGUGCAAAGCACAGCUCUUGGGAGCCCUGCUCUGGGCUGUCUCCCCAGCCCUGCUAGCCAGCAGGGAGCUGUUUUCAGAGUGCUCCCAACAAAGCAGAUAUCUGCCAGGACCGAGGUAAUAGGCUGUCCUGACACAGCCACAGGGACUAAAUAUAGAAGCAGGUGUCUGAAACCUUGGAAACAUCACAUCAGGUGAAACAAGCCAGACACAAAAGGACAAAUGCCGUCUGAUCCCACUUACACGAGGUACCUGGAACAGUCAAAUUCAGAGAGACAGAAACCAGAUGGCAGACUUUGGACCCACCAGGAGGACACAGCCCAGAGACCCCAUCAUGAGCCAUCACUAAGAAGACUGGACUUGACCUCGUUCAGGGUUCGGAGAACUUCCUUGCCGUGACCACCUCACCACCCCUGUCCUUGGAGCGAGAGUUUUCCACAAGCUACAAAACGUGGGAUCACAACAGAGAGAAGCCGUACUGAGAAUCAGCUGACUUCCAUUCAUCCAGAGAAGUGCAAAGCUGUCAAACAAGUAGCACUCUCCUCACAAAACGUUUUCUCUUUAAAAGGAUCGUUAUUUUUCACAGGGGGAUGUUACUUUUUAUCCUAAGUUUUUUCUAUGGUCAUUUGUAAAUGAAUUAAUACAUGAACAUUUAAAGUACUGUUUAUUUUCUUUUUGUCUUUUUUAG